rnacentral:rRNA from 1 species
AUUGAACGCUGGCGGCAUGCCUUACACAUGCAAGUCGAACGGCAGCACGGGAGCAAUCCUGGUGGCGAGUGGCGAACGGGUGAGUAAUACAUCGGAACGUGCCCAAUCGUGGGGGAUAACGCAGCGAAAGCUGUGCUAAUACCGCAUAAGAUCUACGGAUGAAAGCAGGGGAUCGCAAGACCUUGCGCGAAUGGAGCGGCCGAUGGCAGAUUAGGUAGUUGGUGAGGUAAAGGCUCACCAAGCCUUCGAUCUGUAGCUGGUCUGAGAGGACGACCAGCCACACUGGGACUGAGACACGGCCCAGACUCCUACGGGAGGCAGCAGUGGGGAAUUUUGGACAAUGGGGGGC